AUUGAACGCUGGCGGCAGGCCUAACACAUGCAAGUCGAACGAGUGGCGGACGGGUGAGUAAUGUCUGGGAAACUGCCCGAUGGAGGGGGAUAACUGCUGGAAACGGUAGCUAAUACCGCAUACCAUCGGAUGUGCCCAGAUGGGAUUAGCUAGUAGGGGGGGUAACGGCUCACCUAGGCGACGCGCCCUAGCUGGUCUGAGAGGAUGACCAGCCACACUGGAACUGAGACACGGUCCAGACUCCUACGGGAGGCAGCAGUGGGGAAUAUUGGACAAUGGGCGAAAGUCUGAUGCAGCCAGGCCGCGUGUAUGAAGAAGGUCUUCGGGUUGUAAAGUACUUUCAGCGAGGAGGCGUUACUUGCCGAAGAAGCACCGGCUAACUCCGUGCCAGCAGCCGCGGUAAUAC
rnacentral:rRNA from 1 species